CUCGCCUACAUGAAGCUGGAGUUGCUAGUAAUCGCGAAUCAGCAUGUCGCGGUGAAUACGUUCCCGGGCCUUGUACACACCACCCGUCACACCAUGAGAGUUGGCAAUACCCAACGUACGUGAUCUAACCCGCAAGGGAGGAAGCGUCCUAAGGUAGGGUCAGCGAUUGGGGUGAAGUCGUAACAAGGUACC
rnacentral:rRNA from 1 species